AGCGAACGCUGGCGGCAGGCCUAACACAUGCAAGUCGAACGAACCUUUCGGGGUUAGUGGCGGACGGGUGAGUAACACGUGGGAACGUGCCUUUAGGUUCGGAAUAACUCAGGGAAACUUGUGCUAAUACCGAAUGUGCUCUUCGGGGGAAAGAUUUAUCGCCUUUAGAGCGGCCUGCGUCUGAUUAGCUAGUUGGUUGAGGUAAUGGCUCACCAAGGCGACGAUCAGUAGCUGGUCUGAGAGGAUGAUCAGCCACAUUGGGGCUGAGACACGGCCCAAACUCCUACGGGAGGCAGCAGUGGGGAAUCUUGCGCAAUGGGCGAUAGCCUGACGCAGCCAUGCCGCGUGAAUGAUGAAGGUCUUAGGAUUGUAAAAUUCUUUCACCGGGGGCGAUAAUGACGGUACCCGGAGAAGAAGCCCCGGCUAACUUCGUG
rnacentral:rRNA from 1 species